UACGAAGGGGGCUAGCGUUGCUCGGAAUCACUGGGCGUAAAGCGCACGUAGGCGGGUCGUUAAGUCAGGGGUGAAAUCCCAGAGCUCAACUCUGGAACUGCCUUUGAUACUGGCGACCUAGAGUUCGGAAGAGGUUAGUGGAAUUCCCAGUGUAGAGGUGAAAUUCGUAGAUAUUGGGAAGAACACCAGUGGCGAAGGCGGCUAACUGGUCCGAUACUGACGCUGAGGUGCGAAAGCGUGGGGGGCAAACAGG
rnacentral:rRNA from 1 species